UACGAAGGGGGCUAGCGUUGUCCGGAAUUAUUGGGCGUAAAGAGCUCGUAGGCGGUGUGUCACGUCGGCCGUGAAAACCUGCAGCUUAACUGUGGGCGUGCGGUCGAUACGGGCAUCACUGGAGUUCGGCAGGGGAGACUGGAAUUCCUGGUGUAGCGGUGAAAUGCGCAGAUAUCAGGAGGAACACCGGUGGCGAAGGCGGGUCUCUGGGCCGA
rnacentral:rRNA from 1 species